rnacentral:rRNA from 1 species
UGCGGUUAUACAAAAGUUAAAUUAAAUUUUUUUAGGAUUUAAUAAAUAAAAUUAUUAAAUAAUGUAAAUUUUAAAUUAUAAGGUGAAAUUUUAAUUUAAUUAAAAGUUAUUUAUUUUUAUGAUAUUAAUAAAUUUUAUAAAAAACUAGGAUUAGAUACCCUAUUAUAAAAAUUUAAAUUUUAUAAUCUUAAAAUAGUAUGUAAAUUUUUAUAGAAACUUAAAUAAUUUGGCGGUAUUUUAGUUCAUUUAGAGGAAUCUGUCUAAUAAUUGAUAAUCCACGAUUAAAUUUACUUAAUUUAUAAUUUUGUAUAUCGUUGUUAAAAAAAUAUUUUUAAAUGAAUUUAAUAUUUUAAAAUUUAUAUAAAAAAUUAAAUCAGAUCAAGAUGCAGAUUAUAAUUAAGAAUAUGAUGGAUUACAAUAAAUUUAUUUAUUUUGGAUAUUAAUUUGAAAUAAAUUAAUUGAAAUUGGAUUUAAAUGUAAUUUUAUUAAUUUUGUUAAAAUGAUUGAAAAUUAAAAUAUGUACAUAUUGCCCGUCGCUUUCAUUAAUAAAUUGAAAUAAGUCGUAACAAAGUAGAGGUACUGGAAAGUGUUUCUAGAAAGAU